rnacentral:tRNA from 1 species
GAGAAUAUAGCUCAGUGAUAGAGCACAUGCUGAGCAUGCACGAGGUCCUGGGUUCAAUCCCCAGUACCUCCU